rnacentral:rRNA from 1 species
AGGGSACCMCCAGGAGUGGRGCCUGCGGCUUAWUUUGACUCAMCACGGGAAAACUCACCCGGCCCGGACACCGUAAGGAUUGACAGAUUGAGAGCUCUUUCUUGAUUCGGUGGKUGGKGGKGCAUGGSCGUUCUUAGUUGGKGGAGCGAUUUGUCUGGKUUAUUCCGAUAACRAACRAGACUCUGGCCUACUAAAUAGAGACAGGAUUAUUACUGUCCUGGAUUCUUCUUAGAGGGACAAGUGGUUUUCAGCCACACSAAAUUGAGCAAUAACAGGUCUGUGAUGCCCUUAGAUGUCCGGGGCUGCACGCGCGCUACACUGAAGGAAUCAGCGUGCUAAAACCAUUGUCGAAAGGCAUUGGUAAACCCCUCAAAAUCCUACGUGAUUGGGAUCGGGAAUUGCAAUUAUUUCCCUUGAACGAGGAAUUCCCAGUAAGUGUGGGUCAUAAGCUCGCGAUGAUUACRUCCCUGCCCUUUGUACACACCGCCCGUCGCUGCCCGGGACUGAGCCGUUUCGAGA